rnacentral:lncRNA from 1 species
AGGCAAUGCAAUUUGUGGACAAGCCCAUGAAACCCAAAGGUGAAAAAGGGAAACAGGUUUACACAGACAGCCCUUCAUGCCACGUCUCCAGACAUUCCUGCUGGAAUCUAAUCACCUUUGUCCUUAACCAGGCUUCCUGCCCACAUCUUACCAGGUGAUCACAGGUGUCAGUUGGUGUCUCGCCACUCCCUGAGGGUGGAUAUACUUUCUGUUCUAGCAGCAAAGUUUGCUUUACUUUCCUGAGGAUACACACGUGCACCCUGGAUCUCAUCUCCACAGGCAUGGUGGUGGGUCCCUUCCAUUUCUAUUUCCUGGCUCAUCACCUGUCUUCAUGCUUGGGACUACCUUUCUGUUGAAGGCCACAUCCUUGCAGCCUCACGUCCUCACUGCAUCUCAGGGGGAAGAUACCCACCUGGGCGUCAGCAACAGCUGCUUUCCACCUUGGGAGAGUUUGACGCAGCCGUAUCUCUGGUUCUCUGGCCAUCCUCCCACAACCUGGAGAGUUUCCACUUCGAAUCCUCCAAGAAACAGUGGUUUGUGUGGGCACAAAUGAGCUACAGCACGUAUAAGUCAAUGGGAAGAAAGGAAAUGCUCACUAUGCUAGAAGUGACAGUAGAAACUUCCAUUGUGUGUGACUGGAGAGGCACAAAUGAAGGGCAUCUCCCAAACCCUUUUGUUUUGCCCCAAACCAUCAGGAUAACUAAAAGCCACUCCAACAUGUUGAUGGGGGUAGCCGAGGAAUGAUGCAGACCAGAGCAUCAGAGUAGGUGACAGGCAUUUGACAGUGGACACCCCAAAAAGGUAAGAGU